CCUACGGGUGGCAGCAGUGGGGAAUAUUGGGCAAUGGGCGCAAGCCUGACCCAGCAACGCCGCGUGAAGGAAGAAGGCUUUCGGGUUGUAAACUUCUUUUGUCAGGGAAGAGUAGAAGACGGUACCUGCCGAAUAAGCUACGGCUAACUACGUGCCAGCAGCGGCGGUAAUCCGGAGGUGGCAAGCGUUGUCCGGAUUGACUGGGUGUAAAGGGCGUGUAGCCGGGUUGACAAGUCAGAUGUGAAAUCCUGCGGCUUAACCGGAGAACUGCAUUUGACACUGUUGAUCUUGAGUACUGGAGAGGCAGAUGGAAUUCCUGGUGUAGCGGUGAAAUGCGUAGAUAUUAGGAGGAACACCAGUGGCGAAGGCGGUCUGCUGGACAGCAACUGACGGUGAGGCGCGAAAGCGUGGGGAGCAAACAGGAUUAGAUACCCUUGUAGUC
rnacentral:rRNA from 1 species